rnacentral:rRNA from 1 species
CAUGCCGCGUGUAUGAAGAAGGCCUUCGGGUUGUAAAGUACUUUCAGUUGUGAGGAAGGGUGUGUAGUUAAUAGCUGCGCAUCUUGACGUUAGCAACAGAAGAAGCACCGGCUAACUCCGUGCCAGCAGCCGCGGUAAUACGGAGGGUGCGAGCGUUAAUCGGAAUUACUGGGCGUAAAGCGCAUGCAGGUGGUUACAUUAACGUACAGAUGUGAAAGCCCGGGGCUCAACCUCGGAACUCGCAUUUGAAACUGGUGAACUAAGUGCUGUAAGGGGGGUAGAAUUUCAGGUGUACGGUGAAAUGCGUAAGAUCUG